rnacentral:rRNA from 1 species
AUGGGUUUUGAAGACCAUGAAAGUUUCGAAACCAAAAAAAUUAUCCUAAGUACCCAUCAUGGUGUGGAUUUUCCAGUAAAGCUGUACAAUGCUCAGAGUGUAACCCAUUUUGGUUGCAAAAAUUGGGAAGCACUUUGCAAGAUGUAUGGUUUUGAUGAGUGUAUGCUUGUUACCAUGGAUCUUGGUGAUCCUACAAUCGAGCAAGAGAGACCUACGAUUUACGUCCUUGUGGAUACACCUCCAAUUCUUCCCUCAUCUUAUUUUCAUUCUUCAAAAAAUGUGCGGAAGAUGGUAGACAGAAUCUACUACACCGAAGGCUCCGAACUAACUUAUCAGGAGAAAAAUCAUCUGGUCGCAUUUUGUAUUAAUCUUGAGAAUUACAAUGUCUACAAUCGAAUUCCUCAACACUAUGGUCAAUACGUGCCACUAGUGCACGUGUUGAACUACGGUAACUACCAUGGAGAUACCCUGGUAAGAUUUUUUACUAUUACGACAUCCGUGCAUCUUUUUGCACACUUCUAA